rnacentral:lncRNA from 10 species
ACUGGCCUUAGGAGCAGGAGGCCGAGCAGCCAGGGCUGCUUUCCCAUCGCUGUCUCAGCUGCUCCCGCUGGCCUUCUGCUCAGGCUGGUGUCUCCUUGGCCGGCUCCCUGCUUCUCAGCUCAUGCCUCCAGCCUUCUGGACUCUAGGAUCACAUGUGGCUGCCCACCUCGGACAGGGUUGACUAGAGGUGAAGAGGUGCCAUGCACUCCAGGAGAAGAGCUGACUGGAUCCUAUACUCAAAGAAUGGGCCACGGAUCCCUACCUGUCCACUGUUUGUUACUGGGCUGGGAAGCUGCAAGACCCGAUGCUGGGG